CAGUUCACUGACUCUGUGUGUUUGCAUAUGUGUCCUUCCUCUCUGCUCCCAGCCUUUAAGAGGCCAGUGUUGAUCAGUGGCUGUCCAGGCCUUUCAGAGCCACUGACACGCCGGCAGCACAAUGAUGAUGUCACUGACUCUACUGCUGGCCACCCUGGGGCUCCUUGUUCAGGGUUCAUCAGGACAAAUCACCCUGACUCAGUCUCCUGGAUCUCAGUCUGUUGUUCCAGGACAGACUGUCUCUAUCAGAUGUAAAACCAGUUCAAGUGUUAGUAGCUACCUCAGCUGGUACUUUCAGAAACCUGGAGAAGUUCCUAAUCUCCUGAUUUAUUCAGCUACAACUCGUCAGUCUGGAGUUUCAAGUCGUUUCAGUGGAAGUGGAUCUGGUUCUGACUUCACUCUGACCAUCAGUGGAGUUCAGGCUGAAGAUUCAGGAGUUUACUACUGUCAGCAGGGUAACAGCUUCCCGUUCACACAGUGAUACAACGUCGUACAAAAACCUCCCUCAGCUGGAGAGGAACUGAUCUGACUCAACAGCUGCACUGACACUAAAACAACAGAGGUUUCACAAAAAAAACCCCAUCAUUAAUAAUGAUUGGCUUUGAACAUUUUGCCACUAAAUAUUCAGUAUUUAAAAAGUCAUAUUUUUAAUGCUUUCAUGAAAACAGGGUGUGAAACAGUCUGCUGCACUUCAGUGGUAACCUCUCUCGAAGUAUGAUUUCAAUUCAUUAAUAUGUGAAAUCCAUCACUAAAACUAUAAAUAUUAUAUAUUCAUUUUAUAUCUUAACAUUCAUAGUCAAACAUACUCAUUGUUGAAUUAAAUUACAAAUCACUACAAAUGUUAAUAACAUAUUUUAGUAAUUUUGUGUGUUUUGUAUUCUAGCAAACAUAAACAAAUGUGUUUUAUAACUAAAACCAAAAAAAAGAGAUAAAUGAAGUAUGUAAUCAAUUGUAUUGUCAAUCUAAUCAGUUAAUUUUGUCUUUUUAUCAACUCUUUUAUUUGUGUUUAUGGUUCUUCAGCAGAAGCAGUAUGUAAAUAGCUGAAGGGGUAGAACAACAGAUCACAUUUAUGAUGUUUGUCCUUAUGGUGACGAUAUUGUACUUUUUAUAUCAGAUUAAGAGUUUAUUUUUUAACUUAUUUGGUUUUAUUCAAAGAAUAAUUUGUGUCCUUUAGAUACACCUAAAGCAAUUACAAUAUUACAAAGCUUACUAUUAAGACUCUUUUUCAGAAGAGAUGAUUGAAUGAUUUAUUGUUGAAAUGUUCCUACAUUGUUCCAAAGGUUUAUUAUUGAAGACAAAUCUGUAAUGAUUAUAUCAGAAACAGUUGUACAGCGAUGAAGGUAUUCAUAUUGAUUAUGACAACAUAUUAUGGACUUAUACUACGACCAUCACUAGUUUGUACUAAUCAAACAAUAAUGAGGAGUUUUGUCGGAGUGUAUAAACUAUUUUGAUAUACAGUAUAUAUGGCUGUACAUUAUGUUAUCUUAAACAUUCUGGAGAAGUUGAAAAAAACUUUCUCAGCUCAGUUUUUCUCUGGAUUUAAUCCAGUCACUGACACCAUGAAGAGAAAAUCAUUAAGACACUUUGAUAAUAAUAAAGUUGAAAACAACUGAUUUGAUGAACACGUCUUUAUUAUCUGGAAACAGUGAAAUAAUAUUGAAACACUGCAGCAAGCUAGUAAAUAUUCUGACUGAAACAUGUCAAAUGAAAGAGAGAGAUAGUUACAGAGUGCACAGUGAGAG